UACCCUGGUGUGUGUGUGUGUGUGUGUGUGUGUGUGUGUGUGUGUUAUAAUGCACAGACAGCACUGGGCUAUCAUUAUGGACACUGGACUUAAUGAAUAAUCAUGUCCCUGUCAAAGACCAGAGCAGAGUGCAGCAGGGAUUUAUAAUAUUUGUACAUAAACACAGUCGCUGCUGGAACAGAGCCAUGUUAGCGUGGCACUUUCUCAAUAACAGGGCAAACACAAACGUACAGCAUUAAAGGUUUCAUGUGAACUAAACCUUACAAACAUUAACCCGGACCCGGAUCUGACUCCAGAGUAAAGCUCAGUGACAUCAGAGUGAGCGUCAGUCAGUGGAGUCAGCUAUAACUGAGAAGCGCUGUGUCAUUGGCUCAUGUGGACAUCAUUACACUGACCCCAUGGGAACACAUGAGCUGGACUUCCAGGUAAACCUGUAAAGAAAACAUUGAAGUGGAACCAUGCUGUGACUACUAUUCUCUGCUCUGCGCAAUGCUGCUGUGUGGAUAGUUUCCUGCUGUGGCUCCUCAAACAGGGACAAGACAGUAACAGGAUGACCCUACCAGUGUAAAGGGCAGAAGGUGUGGACCAUCUCUAAUGAUGAAACAACACCUAAUCAAAACCCUCUCUAAGUGAACAGAAGAGAUGCCCACAUUUCCCCCACCACCUUGUUUAUCUCUGAAGCUUAUUCACUUGCAGCAUGUUGAUCUGUAGUUGCUCUGUACUUGUUAUAAUGAUGACUUGUCUGAAAACUCCUUGGGGAGUUGGAUAAUGUCUGACAGCUGACAAGUGCUGGGGUGGCUUACAUCUACUAUUUAUAUGGUAGACAUGCAAUGUGGUCAGCACUGCAAAUUAAUCCAAUGAAUUAAAUAAAUGGUUGUUAAUCA